AGAGGAUGCCUAGGAAAGUAUUUUUGGCAUGUUUGGUUGACCAUGGAAAAGUGACAAAUUUCCAAGGUGCUUAUGUUUGGUUGGCCAUCCACUUUUCUAGGAAAGUUAUAUAUAAUUCCUAUUAUGCCCUUAAUAAAAAUUAGGUUUUUAAUGCCUCUUUAAUGCUUCUUUAAUACUGAAGGGACUUUUUGGGAAAAAGUAAAAAUGAAGUGAUUCCCGCCUCAUGGGAAAGUAACUUUCCCAUGUUUC
rnacentral:lncRNA from 1 species